rnacentral:rRNA from 1 species
UCCAGACUCCUACGGGAGGCAGCAGUGGGGAAUAUUGCACAAUGGGGGAAACCCUGAUGCAGCAACGCCGCGUGAAGGAAGACGGUUUUCGGAUUGUAAACUUCUAUCAAUAGGGAAGAAAGAAAUGACGGUACCUAAAUAAGAAGCCCCGGCUAACUACGUGCCAGCAGCCGCGGUAAUACGUAGGGGGCAAGCGUUAUCCGGAUUUACUGGGUGUAAAGGGUGCGUAGGUGGCAUGGCAAGUCAGAAGUGAAAGCCCGGGGCUCAACCCCGCGGACUGCUUUUGAAACUGUCAGGCUGGAGUACAGGAGAGGUAAGCGGAAUUCCUAGUGUAGCGGUGAAAUGCGUAGAUAUUAGGAGGAACACCAGUGGCGAAGGCGGCUUACUGGACUGUAACUGACACUGAGGCACGAAAGCGUGGGGAGCAAACAGGAUUAGAUACCCUCGUA